UACGUAGGGGGCAAGCGUUGUCCGGAUUUAUUGGGCGUAAAGAGCGUGUAGGCGGCCUGAAAGGUCAGCUGUGAAAACUCGGGGCUUAACCCCGAGCCUGCAGUGGAUACGGGCAGACUAGAGUUCGGCAGGGGAGACUGGAAUUCCUGGUGUAGCGGUGAAAUGCGCAGAUAUCAGGAGGAACACCGGUGGCGAAGGCGGGUCUCUAGUACGGUACUGACGCUGAGACGCGAAAGCGUGGGGAGCGAACAGG
rnacentral:rRNA from 1 species